rnacentral:lncRNA from 1 species
GGGCGCUGUGCGGGGCGGGGGCGCUGGUCCUCCCUUCCUGGGGAGGGAGGAAAAGAGAGUGAGAAAAGCAAGUCGCAGCCGGCUUGGGCCGGUGUUGCGGUGGUGCGUGCGUGACGCUGAGGCUGCGAGGGCUUCCUCACCUGCUUCCAACUGACCAAGUGUGAAGCGAGGUGUGAACAGGCCUCUGACAGAGCCCGCGUCCACAGACUGCGCCGGGGAGCGGCCUGGAGGGGAGGGGCCUGCCCUCGGAAGGACCCUGUGGAGGAGCCCGCGCUGGCUGAGGUAUUUUGGCAUAAAAAAGAAACCAGAACCAAAAUGGCAUCAGUGAUGUUUGUAGAAAAGUUUGAAAAGGAAGGAAUGAAGUUGAGUAACUGGGAUCCUAGAAGAGGGCCUGGUGUGAAAAAUUGGAAGACCAGAGCUGAGAGACAGAGUCCUAGCCAGAGGCAUUUACAUUCAAUGAGCCUGAAGCUGUUAGUUCCAAGGAGAGCAAGCUAA